GAGUGAUCGAAAGAUGAAAAGCACUUUGGAAAGAGAGUCAAACAGCACGUGAAAUUGUUGAAAGGGAAGCGCUUGCAGCCAGACUUGCUUGCAGUUGCUCAUCCGGGCUUUUGCCCGGUGCACUCUUCUGCAGGCAGGCCAGCAUCAGUUUGGGCGGUGGGAUAAAGGUCUCUGACACGUUCCUUCCUUCGGGUUGGCCAUAUAGGGGAGACGUCAUACCACCAGCCUGGACUGAGGUCCGCGCAUCUGCUAGGAUGCUGGCGUAAUGGCUGUAAGCGGCCC
rnacentral:rRNA from 2 species